AAGCACGACCUUUGAACCUGAUUGGCCUUUUACAGCUUCUCAGGCCAAGCAUCAGUGCUAGAUUGUAAAGGCUUGUGAUAUGGGGCUCUUUGGCUCUCAGCUGAACUGCUCUUUGAAAAAGCAAGGAACAUCU